GGGCCUGCACAAGCGGUGGAGCAUGUGGUUUAAUUCGAAGCAACGCGCAGAACCUUACCAGGGUUUGAAAUCAUUUCAAAACUCCUUGAAAGAGGAGCCUCCUUCGGGAUGAAAUGACAGGUGGUGCAUGGCUGUCGUCAGCUCGUGUUGUGAAAUGUCGAGUUAAGUCUCGUAACGAGCGCAACCCAUGUCUCUUGUUGCUCACUGAGUGCUUAAGAGAGACUGCCGACCAACAUCGGAGGAAGGUGUGGAUGAUGUCAAGUCAGCAUGCCCCUUACAUCCUGGGCUACACACGUACUACAAUGGUAAGGACAAUGAGCUGCGAUCCUGCGAAGGCUAGCCAAUCUCAAAAACCUUAUCUCAGUUCGGAUUGCACUCUGCAACUCGACGGCAUG
rnacentral:rRNA from 1 species